rnacentral:rRNA from 1 species
GAUGAACGCUAGCGACAGGCCUAACACAUGCAAGUCGAGGGGCAGCACGAAGUAAGCUUGCUUACUUUGGUGGCGACCGGCGCACGGGUGCGUAACAGGUGUGCAAUCUGUCCAUAAUCGGGGAAUAGCCCAGCGAAAGUUGGAUUAAUGCUCCAUGUGAGUUUUAGAGGCAUCUCUUUAAUUUGAAACGUAAGGAUUAUGGGUGAGCACGCUUCUGAUUAGGUAGUUGGUGAGGUAACGGCUCACCAAGCCGACGAUCAGUAGGGGUUCUGAGAGGAAGGUCCCCCACAUUGGAACUGAGACACGGUCCAAACUCCUACGGGAGGCAGCAGUGAGGAAUAUUGGUCAAUGGACGGAAGUCUGAACCAGCCAAGUAGCGUGCAGGACGACGGCCCUAUGGGUUGUAAACUGCUUUUAUGUGGGAAUAAAGUCAGGGACGUGUCCCUGUUUGCAUGUACCACAGGAAUAAGGGACCGGCUAAUUCCGUGCCAGCAGCCG